rnacentral:rRNA from 1 species
GACGAACCGAGCGAACGUUGUUCGGAAUCACUGGGCUUAAAGGGCGCGUAGGCGGGUUCCCAAGUCUGUGGUGAAAUCCUCCAGCUCAACUGGAGAACUGCCGCGGAUACUGGGGGUCUCGAGGACGGUAGGGGCGUGCGGAACAGUAGGUGGAGCGGUGAAAUGCGUUGAUAUCUACUGGAACUCCGGUGGCGAAGGCGGCACGCUGGACCGUUACUGACGCUGAGGCGCGAAAGCCAGGGGAGCAAACGGG